UACGGAGGGUGCGAGCGUUGUCCGGAAUCACUGGGCGUAAAGGGUGCGUAGGCGGGGCUUUAAGUCAGAGGUGAAAUCCUGGAGCUCAACUCCAGAACUGCCUUUGAUACUGAAGAUCUUGAGUUCGGGAGAGGUGAGUGGAACUGCGAGUGUAGAGGUGAAAUUCGUAGAUAUUCGCAAGAACACCAGUGGCGAAGGCGGCUCACUGGCCCGAUACUGACGCUGAGGCACGAAAGCGUGGGGAGCAAACAGG
rnacentral:rRNA from 1 species